AUUUCGAAUCUGAAAACUGGAAAAGAAAGUUCUUUCAUACUGAUUUUCAGAUCUGUGGCUGAUACUGACCAUGUGAAUCUGCAUAUUUCACAGUUCUGGAGCGGGCAGGCACUCUUAUCUGGAAUUUAAGUGUAUAAUGAAGCAGUUCUACUCCAACCAGGACCAAGGUUCGAACAGUACUGUCCAGCAUGCUCUGAGCUUGAGAGUGUGGGAUCUCAAGGUAGCAACAGCCGCAUCGACAUUUUGAGCCUUCCUAUAUAAAUAAAUAGCUCCUGCCAAUGGUGAAUGAUCAAGUGGAAGCGAGUUUUCUUUCAGGUCUUACAGUUCCUCUGAAACUGGAAACAAGUUCUCCAGGGAAACCUUGAUCAUCUGUGAUCAUCUGUGCUUAUUAUCCUUCGGGGCUAAGAGAACAUCUCAUUUAUGUCACGAGAGUCAUGACAUACAAAUGUUGCACACCUCAUAACCAAAUAUCUUUCAGUCCUCCUGUGAAGUCAAUUAUAAUCAUGGCUUCAAAUGAGAUGAAAAGAUUUCUAGUGGUAGGGAUGUUUGAAAUGGAGCUACAGUGGGGUGUGAAUUUGAUUCUACUACUUCAGAGGGAUUAAAAUCUAUCUUAGAACUUUCUACAGUUUAUUUUUUCUUGACUUGGGUCUUUCUUGAUGUCUUCUUGAAAGUAUGUUUAUGCAAGACAAAGUACCUGAUCAAUGAUAUGUAUCCAGUAGUUGUUUUUCUGAUGAAUGAAUGAAUGAGAACCUAUAUUGCUUCCUGUUUUUGUCUAUUUCAUACGUUUUGUUUAAUCCUGCAUAUAGUUUCCUACCUGGGGGUCUGAGGAUGUCUAGUGGGUAAAGGUAGUAUUAAUAACAUGUCAUUGAAUGAUCUUCAAAAUUUCGGAAAUGUUCAAGAAAUCUUAAAAUGUUCAACUUAUUUGCUCUUGGCUAGAAUUAUAUCAACAUAAUUUGUUAAUAGUAGCUCUCCUAUGCUGAUCAGAUUCCCUAAUUAGUAACUAUUUAAGCCCUUGAUUUAUUUUAUUUUUUUUUAAUUUUUAAUUCAAUUUAUUUUUUUUGAGAUGGGAGUCUUGCUCUGUCGCCCAGGCUGGAGUGCAGUGGCGUGAUCUCGGCUCACUGCAAACUCCACCUCCCAGGUUCACGCCAUUCUCCUGCCUCAACCUCCUGAGUAGCUGGGACUACAGGCCCGCCAACAAGCCCGGCUAAUUUUUUGUAUUUUUAGUAGAGAUGGGGUUUCACCACGUUAGCCAGGAUGGUCUCGAUCUCCUGACGUUGUGAUCCUCCUGCCUCGGCGUCCCAAAGUGCUGGGAUUACAGGUGUGAGCCAGCGUGCCAGGCCGAUUUAUUUUUUUUUAAAAGAGUAAAAAUUAUUGCUUAACAAAUACAUUUUUGUGACUAACAUUUCCAGAAUAUGGACUUUAUGGGGGUAAACAAAAAAAGAAGGAUUUGGCAUAAAAAAUGUGUUGGGAACUAUAAAAAUUUGAAUAUAAUAAGUGCUAAAACUAGUCUGAUGAGACUUCAGGAACAGCCAAAAUACACCCUAUUGGAGAGGUAAUGACAAGGACAUAUUAGUUUAAACUUCUUUUUGCCUGAUCUUGGCUUUAGACU
rnacentral:lncRNA from 1 species